CUGGGGAUAACAUUUGGAAACAGAUGCUAAUACCGAAUAAAACUUAGUGUCGCAUGACACAAAGUUAAAAGGCGCUUCGGCGUCACCUAGAGAUGGAUCCGCGGUGCAUUAGUUAGUUGGUGGGGUAAAGGCCUACCAAGACAAUGAUGCAUAGCCGAGUUGAGAGACUGAUCGGCCACAUUGGGACUGAGACACGGCCCAAACUCCUACGGGAGGCUGCAGUAGGGAAUCUUCCACAAUGGGCGAAAGCCUGAUGGAGCAACGCCGCGUGUGUGAUGAAGGCUUUCGGGUCGUAAAGCACUGUUGUAUGGGAAGAACAGCUAGAAUAGGAAAUGAUUUUAGUUUGACGGUACCAUACCAGAAAGGGACGGCUAAAUACGUGCCAGCAGCCGCGGUAAUACGUAUGUCCCGAGCGUUAUCCGGAUUUAUUGGGCGUAAAGCGAGCGCAGACGGUUUAUUAAGUCUGAUGUGAAAGCCCGGAGCUCAACUCCGGAAUGGCAUUGGAAACUGGUUAACUUGAGUGCAGUAGAGGUAAGUGGAACUCCAUGUGUAGCGGUGGAAUGCGUAGAUAUAUGGAAGAACACCAGUGGCGAAGGCGGCUUACUGGACUGCAACUGACGUUGAGGCUCGAAAGUGUGGGUAGCAAACAGGAUUAGAUACCCUGGUAGUCCACACCGUAAACGAUGAACACUAGGUGUUAGGAGGUUUCCGCCUCUUAGUGCCGAAGCUAACGCAUUAAGUGUUCCGCCUGGGGAGUACGACCGCAAGGUUGAAACUCAAAGGAAUUGACGGGGACCCGCACAAGCGGUGGAGCAUGUGGUUUAAUUCGAAGCAACGCGAAGAACCUUACCAGGUCUUGACAUCCUUUGAAGCUUUUAGAGAUAGAAGUGUUCUCUUCGGAGACAAAGUGACAGGUGGUGCAUGGUCGUCGUCAGCUCGUGUCGUGAGAUGUUGGGUUAAGUCCCGCAACGAGCGCAACCCUUAUUGUUAGUUGCCAGCAUUCAGAUGGGCACUCUAGCGAGACUGCCGGUGACAAACCGGAGGAAGGCGGGGACGACGUCAGAUCAUCAUGCCCCUUAUGACCUGGGCUACACACGUGCUACAAUGGCGUAUACAACGAGUUGCCAACCCGCGAG
rnacentral:rRNA from 1 species